UACGGCCGCAUCACGUUGAAACACCUAAUCCCAUACGAUCAGCGAAGUUAAGCAACGUCGAGUUUGGUCAGUACCUAGAUAGGUCACCGAUUGGGAAUACCAGGUGCUGAAA